rnacentral:rRNA from 1 species
UACAGAGGGGGCGAGCGUUGUUCGGAAUUACUGGGCGUAAAGGGCGCGUAGGCGGCCAACUAAGUCAGACGUGAAAUCCCUCGGCUCAACCGGGGAACUGCGUCUGAUACUGGAUGGCUUGAAUUCGGGAGAGGGAUGCGGAAUUCCAGGUGUAGCGGUGAAAUGCGUAGAUAGUCUGGAGGAACACCGGUGGCGAAGGCGGCAAUCCUGGACCAACACUGACGGCUGAGGAGCGAAAGCCAGGGGAGCAAAGCGGG